rnacentral:misc_RNA from 1 species
GUGAAUCAUCGAAUCUUUGAACGCACAUUGCGCUCUCCGGUACUCCGGUGAGCAUGCCCGUUUCAGAAUCAGCUAUAAUCCUCACCGAGCCUUCAUAAUUUGAACGUUUGGUGGACUUUGGACGUUGUGUCGCUUUCCUGAAGUUGAGAAACGGAACGGAAGGAGACUCGUCCUAAACUGAUGGGAAAUGCCGGGGCAGCCGUCCACCUUCUUCUUGGAGGUGAGCGGACCUUUGCAAAGCAGCAACAAAAGCCUUCAUUGGUUUGGAAACUACUCUUUGCACUGAAAGCCUCUUGUGUG